GUGGAUUUAGGGUGUUAUGGUGAUGUAGUGUGAGAGGUUUUAUUGCUUAUGAUUAGUGGCUAUGAAGUGGAUUUAGGGUGUUAUGGUGAUGUAGUGUGAGAGGUUUUAUUGCUUAUGAUUAGUGGCUAUGAAGUGGAUUUAGGGUGUUAUGGUGAUGUA